UCUAAAGUAUCGAUUCACCUUGAAAAUCGUACUUGCAUGCAAAGCAGGGGCUUGGGGAGCGCCUGUCUUUUCCCGGCAGAAGUUUCCCUGCUGGGAAGCACACUGCGUGUUUCAGCACCCAGCUGCCUGCUCUCCCGUUAGACAUGCGACACGCUACUAGUGCCAUGAAGGGCUGGAGCCGUAGAAGUCAUUCAGAAAGACAAGCGGCAUCUCCAAGGGCUCCCCUACCGGAAUAACGGGGGCUGGGCAGGGCAGGGCCGUGCGGGUUGCUAUGCGUGGGCUCUUCCACGGCACGCGGGGAAGCCCACUCCGCUCGAGCACUGAGUCAGCGCUUCCUGCGCUCGCCCGGCCCCGGCCGCUCCCGUGGGCAGGAAGCUCCGCUGGGAAUCCUCCCUCCUGCCGCUGCCGGCGCCGCGUGGUGCAGAGGCCGAGAACAGGUAAAAGCGGGUUUCUCCCUGCAUUGUGCUAUCUCGGAGAAAAGGAAGGAAAGACGUGGCAAUCAGCCCUGCCCUUCUCGGAGAAUGGCUGUUUAUUCCCUAAUGCUUAAGAAGCGUUAGAUUGAUAAACCGAGUCCAAUUAUUUCCUAAUGUAAAGCCUCUGAAACCAGUGGAGCUCAAUUAAGAAUCCAUUUAGCCAUGUAAGAGUGUUUGCAUAGAUUUUUGCAUAGGCUCAGUGGAUGCGGCUUUCAGACUGCUCGCUGCUUUAUUCAUUUAAAUCAUACCUCCCUGAAGAAGGAAACCACGUGCACUUUGCAGGGAGAUCAGCACAGGCAACGAGUGCCCACUGCAAGCAGCGAGGAAAUCCUCACCGGCUCCCUGAGAACAGCUGUGCUUUCAUUGGGCUUUCAUUAGCGAACGUUCACCUUUCUCCCCCAGGAGUCCCUGGUCAGCAGCCUAAGGUACCCGUGCCAUUUAAAGCAGCAGGAUGCUACUUAGCAGGAUGCAGCCAUCAGCAGUGACUGCACCAUCCCACAGACAGCACCUGCUUCUUCAUCUUCAUUUGCCUUUUCUCUGUCGAAUCCUUUCUCUGAAGUGUUCACCUGCUCCUCUCCUCCUGUCACCUCCUGGCACCACCUAAACUGGCUGUGACUCAUUUGAAGUGCUCCACAGAGAUGCUACCUGGAACUAGGGAUGCACUUCUGUGCCUAAGCUGCAAUCAACUGCCUUCCAAAAGGAUGUGUUUUAAUUAAUGAGGUGCAUAACAUCUGAAACUGAUGCGGCUUCUUCAGUGCAGCCCUUAAUGUUCUCAGAGAAUGACAGAGCAAUAAAGGACGUGCUCAAGGAAUCAA